AAUUGAUUUCAAACAAAGCUGAAUGGCGAAAAAGAAUGCAUAUAACUGAUCUCAUUAUCUCAACUAGUUUGAGCUUUUAAGAUUUAGUUGUUGUUGUCUGCUUGUAUCAGUCGCAAAAGUAUUAACUGCAGAAUAUUUUAUGCUUGGUGAUUUUUCAGCUUUGGCACUGCUUUUGAUUGAGAUAGAACACAUUAUGUCACAUUAUUUCCGUGUCUCCUUCCCGAGGUGCCCCCUCUCCCCGCCCUCACUCAAACAA
rnacentral:misc_RNA from 1 species